rnacentral:lncRNA from 1 species
CUGAUGUGUCCUUCUUCCUCAGGUGAAAGUUCUCAGACUGAAAACAUCUAGAUAACCUCUAGCUAUGCUAAGCCACAGGCACUUUUAUAGGCCUAGAACCUAUUUCGUGUCUUUAAGGUGACUUGACAGAGUGUGGUUUUGUCCUCUUAUUUUUUGACAUAUUCUGCAACUCAGGAAACAGUCUUGUUUCCCUUUCUCUAUAGCACUCGAGGUGCAUCAGUCUGCUCCUCCCUUUGCCUCAAGGUCCCACAGUGGCAAGGGGAGAGGAGACCAGUCUGGGGGGUCUGCUUAUUAAGCCUUCAUUGCUGUCUACCCCAAGAAAACUCAGAGUCACUGUCUCCUAGGCACUUCUCAGGUAGAAAGAAAUCUUUCCUUACCCUCCAAAUCUGCUAUCCUUCAGGGAUGGAUUCUCGGGUACCUUCGACCAGCUCCCUGCUCUGUUCCAGCUUCCUGGGCAUAAAGGCAAAUAAUCCCAACGUGUUUGGCUUUGACUUUUUCUCAUGGCCUCCUUUCCCAGUGGGUGGCCAUAUAUAUUCAUUCACAUGUCCAAGGGGAUUCCUCCUUCCAUCCCCCGUUUAUUGAUGUUCUUGUCACAUCUCCCUUAGGAGCUUGUUGUGUCAGUCAAGGUCCCAGCAAGAAACAGAUGGCACACUUACACUUGGAUAAUGUGAAAUGAAUUUAAUAAAGGACUACUUACAAAGCUGGGAGCAGGGCUUAGGGAAACCACGAAGAAUAGUCAAAUGCCAGAGGACUAUGAAAUCUAGGUGCUAUUGUAGGCCUGAAAGAGUGGAGAGAGGGGAAAGAGAGCCAGAAGACUGCGGGGGCUAUGCGGAAGAAACAUAGGAUUCCUGGCUUUCAACAGAACUGGCCCAUGGAAACCCCACGGCAAUAGUAAUAAAUGCCACACCCUCACUCACUUCUCUCCUUCCAAUCUCCUGCUGAUGCACAACACUGGCCAUGUGCAGUUGGUAGUCAGUGGUCAAGGGAGCCCAAGAGUGUGGUUCAGGUUCAGCUUCCCCAGGGAAUAGCAGGGUGGACAAAGAUAGAGAGUGGAUUUGGAUAGGCAAAUAGAAUAAUCCAGUAAAAACACUGAAGGCUAGACUUUGUUGUUAAUACCUGUAUUUUUUGGUUUCCCAUCCCACACAUAGUAGGUUUGCAGCAGUUGACUUGGCCAUGGAUUUCUUUGGUGGCUUCCCCCUUUCCAGUGACCCUGGGAGGCAUACUGCCCCCUGCACUGUGGAAUCU